AAUUGGAGACGAGGACAGCUAAGUAAGAGACAGGAACAAGUAGUAAACGCGAGUAGAGAGAGAGAAUCUAGAUACCAAAGGAACCUACGCCGAAGCUUUUAUUUUACGAGACCAAACCGCUCCACCCCCCCCACGUGUCUCCCCAACGCUGUCCAUAUUAGACCGCCACGUGGUCUCCUCUCCCUCCCUUCAAUUCUCCCACAGACACGUGUCUGAACAAGGACAACGUACUGACAUCACUGUUACUGGUAGAGACGCCAAAAAGACAAUGCCACUGACGCUACGUGUCGCCCUCCCAUUCCUCGAAACCGCCAUUUGUUCACUUUCCUUGUCCAAACGCCAAGGGCAUUUUCGGAACCCAAUAAGUAGCCCCUCCCUCCCUCCCCCACUCCUCUCCUUUCUUCUUUCGUUUUCUUCGCUUUCCCCUGUGUGUUCUCCCACCAAAAACUCGCCGGAUUCUUCAUCGUCGUUCAUGACUGAAACGGCGGUUCGUUUAAAUGGGCGAACCUAACGAAGGGAGGAGGCGAGCAAUGGAGAACCUGACGUUUCAGAUGGAUAAGUACCCGAGAGAUCUGCUGCAGAGAUUAAUGUGCAGAAACGACGCGUCGCAGUCGAAAUAUGAGGAGGGAAAUGAGGAGGAGCUGGAGCUGAAUCUGGGGCUGUCUUUGGGAGGAAGAUUCGGAGUAGACAGGAGCGAGAAAAGCAAGCUAGUCCGAUCUUCCUCGAUUGCGGUGACUAUGCCGUUUUGUAGGGAAGAGAACGACGACUCGGCGGCGAAGGCGGCUUCGUACGCGGGGCUGAUGAGGGCGUCGUCGCUUCCGACGGAGACGGAGGAGGAGUGGAGGAAGAGGAAGGAGUUGCAGACGCUGCGGCGGUUGGCGGCGAAGCGGAGGAGGUCGGAGAAGCAGAGGAACAGCAGCAGCAGCAGCAGCAAGGAGGAAGAGGAAAGGCGUGAAUUUGAGGUGGGACCCACUUCAGGGAUGAGGGCGAAUAAUCCGGCGGUGGUGCAGCCGUUUUGGGCGGCGAGGCAAGCGGUUGGUGGUGGCGGUGGAGGAAUGGAUCCCUUGGCGAAGGGUAAAAAUGACAUUUUGGGUGGCUUUCAGGGGUUUGGGCUGCAGCCCAGUUCUCAGGGCUCGGUGGAGUCACAAGGUGGUGGAAGCUCGCCGGGGUUGUCAGAAAUGGAGAGUAAACCUCUUCAAGUUUCAGAUCGAGGGGAGGAUACCCGGUUGAGUUUUGUGGAUCAUCUAUCCGUAGCAUUGGAUCAGAAUAAAAUUUUCAGCUUUAGAGAUGACAAAGACCUUAAGAAAGGAAACACCAUUGCCCCAGAAUUCCUGAAAGCAAUCGAGGAGUCGAGGAUGUCCCUUGUCAUUCUUUCGCCAAACUAUGCUUCUUCAUCAUGGUGCUUGGAUGAGCUGGUGAAGAUUCUCCAUUGCAGACAAGAUAUAGGGCAAGUGCUCUUACCAAUAUUCUACCAAGUGCAACCAUCUGAUGUCCGGAACAGGAAUGGAAGGUUUUCAAAGGCUGUCGAAGAACAUGGUCAAUAGUUCAUCCGAAUAAAAGUAGACAGGUGGAAGGCUGCUUUAAUUGAGGUUUCCAGUAUUGCUGGCUGAGUUAUAAAGGAUAAGUAAGGAGCUUAACUUAUCAUCCGAACACGGCGCGAAGCAAAUAUUGUCAAUGACAUUGUUAAGUUUGUACUCAAAUGUUUAAAAUGGAUGCGUGAAAAGGCAGGAAGAGAGAACUUUGUGAAGGAACUUAAAGACUUUGCUGCUGAUGUGGAGACUCUGUUGGAUGAGUGGAAAGAUAAAGUUGCUAAUAUGUUUGAUACAUUACAAGAGAUAGCUGAGGAUGUGGAGAAUGUACGUGUUGGAUGAGUUCGGAGAUGGACCUGAAGACGAAGCUGCAAGUGAGAGCGAAGAAGAAGUUAUUCCGAGUUGGAUGAAUGAGUGGUUCGCAGAUGAUGACUGGUAACUCUUCGAUCGAUCUGGCUUAUAUAUAUAUAUAUAUAUAUAUGUAUAUAUAUAUGAGCCAGCUUGUUUACCAUGGCAGAUUAAUAAUAAAUUAAUUAUGGAUA